CAGCUGCCAUGCUCUGGUGGUCUUGACUAGCUGCUGUGUUUGUCCUCAGACAGGGGAGAUUGGAACUGGAUGACCUUUGAAGGUGCCUUCCAACCCAAACCAUUCCAUGAUUCUGUGACUUGAUGGUGCAAAACAAACCCCCUCACUGUCUGCCAGCACUCGGAGCAAACUCCCUUGACCCCUUUGCUCAGGUUUUUAACGCGCCGCUGCUGUAACCGGAGCCGGCAUCUGCAGCCCGGCGGGCGAGCUGGUCCCCGAAGCCGGAGGAAUACAAGCCCUUCAUUAUUGCCAAGUGGGAUCAGAGCACGUAGGUCUGUUUAGACACUGCGAAGCAUUGUAAGAGGGCUCUCUUCAGGGACAGCCAUAAAAGCCUCCUUCUUCCUCCCGUUAGAAAAGAGCAGCUGUAUUCUUCUUACGUGGACCCCGACGAAAGUUGCCUGUCUGUACCCUGCAAGAGUUUCGGGUCAGCGCAGAAAAGCAAACUUCAUUUCAGUCUGAAAUGAAGUCAAGUCUGAACAGAGUUUCCCAGUGCAGGGCUGUGCCUUGGGUGGGAGCUGCUCUCACCUCUGUGCAUGUGGCUCAUGGCUCGGGGAGCUGGUGGGGAAGGUUUCUCAGGUUCUGUAUUGCUAUCUGACAGAUAUUUUGGCAGCUCUAAACUAACUUUAAAGUAUAAUCCUGAGCAAUCUUAAAGAUUAGGUUAUUUUGGGCUAUAAAUUACCUGUUAAUGGCCACUCCCAGCACCUUUGACAUUAAAUUAAAACCAUAACCACUGCUUGUUAAACAGGAGAGACAGGCCACUUUACAGUGCCAGCACUCCCCAGUUUUAUAUCUGGGGCUCAGUCUAGUUUUCCCUCUUCAAAACCAGUGACAAAGUGCUCAAUCAGUGAUAUAAAUAAGCAGGACUGAAUUGGUUAUUUUAUAGGUACAUGAGUGCCUCAUUAAUUGCUGAGUGCUACAGAUGUGAACAGGGUGCUCUAAACUGUUUACCAGCUGGUUCUUGGAAAUGAGACUUCCUGGAUGACUUUCCUGUUGAGAUAUGCUGCCCCUCCUUGUAAUUCCCAUGGUGGUUCCUGCUUCCCGGCAAGACCAAACUCCCCAUUCACACACAGGAUCAUUGCUGGCGUUGCCACUGGAGUUGCUAGAAGAGCUCUGCUCAGGCGCCUGGAAGAUAUUGAUUGCUCUGUGCAACUUCCCAGCGUGAGCCUGCCCAUGACACACUCAGCAUCCAGAAAUGUGAGCCACGCUGUCAGUGACAGGGCAAACCCCAGGAGCACGAGGACUGCUCGGCUGCAUCUGGAGCUGGGGUGACCUUUCCUGAAAGGACAGAUUGGCUUUGAGUCAGGCUGGGAGUCAGCGUUCUGCUGGAUUUCUGUUAAUUGUAUUAAUUGCAGCGGUCUCUGCUUGGCACUACUUUACUUGGAAACCUGUGUGUGCUCUCAGACAGAAAUCUUGGCAUGGGAAGGCUGAAUCUUCUGGUUGGAUUUGAGAAGGGGGAGGAAGAGGACAGGAGGGACUGACCAGCUGGGCUCCUUUCAGCACAGUCAGGAAAUUCAGAGUUGCUUCUGCUGCAUUCCAGUACCAUGGUGCUGUGUUACACAGGCUUCUUGCUGCUAAUUAAAUAUUUAACAUACGUGUGAAAUAAGACAAAAGGAGGGAGGGAAAAACCAACGACCCACAUGUGAGUGUAUAUCGAAAAGCAAUCCUGUAUCGGCGUGGAGAGAAACUAGAAUGUUUAAGAAGUCUCUUUGUCUUCAUAACCUUAUGGUUCUGCAUUCGUUUGCGAGGGCCCAUUUUAGAUACACAGAGAGAAAAUCUGAUGCUUUGUGUCAACAUCCCUGAUACACCGUAUUUAUAUGAAUGUGAGGCACAUUCUGACUAUUAACUAU